UAACCUGCCUGGUAACGGGGGAUAACUAUUGGAAACGAUAGCUAAUACCGCAUAAGAGUAGAUGUUGCAUGACAUUUGCUUAAAAGGUGCAAUUGCAUCACUACCAGAUGGACCUGCGUUGUAUUAGCUAGUUGGUGGGGUAACGGCUCACCAAGGCGACGAUACAUAGCCGACCUGAGAGGGUGAUCGGCCACACUGGGACUGAGACACGGCCCAGACUCCUACGGGAGGCAGCAGUAGGGAAUCUUCGGCAAUGGACGGAAGUCUGACCGAGCAACGCCGCGUGAGUGAAGAAGGUUUUCGGAUCGUAAAGCUCUGUUGUAAGAGAAGAACGAGUGUGAGAGUGGAAAGUUCACACUGUGACGGUAUCUUACCAGAAAGGGACGGCUAACUACGUGCCAGCAGCCGCGGUAAUACGUAGGUCCCGAGCGUUGUCCGGAUUUAUUGGGCGUAAAGCGAGCGCAGGCGGUUAGAUAAGUCUGAAGUUAAAGGCUGUGGCUUAACCAUAGUACGCUUUGGAAACUGUUUAACUUGAGUGCAAGAGGGGAGAGUGGAAUUCCAUGUGUAGCGGUGAAAUGCGUAGAUAUAUGGAGGAACACCGG
rnacentral:rRNA from 1 species